GAUGAACGCUGGCGGCGUGCUUAACACAUGCAAGUCGAACGGAAAGGCCCAAGCUUGCUUGGGUACUCGAGUGGCGAACGGGUGAGUAACACGUGGGUGAUCUGCCCUGCACUUCGGGAUAAGCCUGGGAAACUGGGUCUAAUACCGGAUAGGACCACAUUUUGGAUGGUGUGGUGGAAAGUUUUUCGGUGUGGGAUGAGCUCGCGGCCUAUCAGCUUGUUGGUGGGGUAAUGGCUUACCAAGGCGUCGACGGGUAGCCGGCCUGAGAGGGUGUACGGCCACAUUGGGACUGAGAUACGGCCCAGACUCCUACGGGAGGCAGCAGUGGGGAAUAUUGCACAAUGGGCGCAAGCCUGAUGCAGCGACGCCGCGUGGGGGAUGACGGCCUUCGGGUUGUAAACUCCUUUCGCUAGGGACGAAGCGUUUUUGUGACGGUACCUGGAGAAGAAGCACCGGCUAACUACGUG
rnacentral:rRNA from 1 species